rnacentral:rRNA from 1 species
UUAACUGAGCAUGUGCUCGUCCAUCUAUUUAUCUUCUCUUGUGCACAUNUUGUAGUCUUGAACGUACCUCUCGCAGUCAAAUGCGGUUUGGGAGCUUGGGCGCGAGCCCUUCUCCUGCUUCUUCAAGGCUAUGUUUUCAUAUACACUAUAAAGUUACAGAAUGUCUUUUAACGAUUGCGCUUGUCGUAGUCAUUAAACCUAUACAACUUUCAGCAACGGAUCUCUUGGCUCUCCUAUCGAUGAAGAACGCAGCGAAAUGCGAUAAGUAAUGUGAAUUGCAGAAUUCAGUGAAUCAUCGAAUCUUUGAACGCACCUUGCGCCCUUUGGUAUUCCGAAGGGCAUGCCUGUUUGAGUGUCAUUAAAUUAUCAACCUUGCUCGCUUUUACCGGCUUGAGUUAGGCUUGGAUGUGAGGGCUUGCUGGCUUCCUUCAGUGGACGGUCUGCUCCCUUUAAAUGCAUUAGUGGGAUCUCUUGUGGACCGUCACUUGGUGUGAUAAUUAUCUAUGCCAUUUGACCUUGAAGCAAAACUUAUGGGAACCCGCUCAUAACCGUCUUCGGACAACUUUUGACAUUU